CUGGCCCAGGAGUACCAGCGCCUGCUGCAGGGGCUGCGGGGUUGGGAUCAGGGAUGGAUUUUGGGAUCCCAGGGAUGAUUUUUGGGAUCAGGGAUGGAUUUUGGGAUCCCAGGGAUGAUUUUUGGGAUCCCAGGGAUGGAUUUUGGGAUCAGGGAUGGAUUUUGGGAUCCCAGGGAUGAUUUUUGGGAUCAGGGAUGGAUUU
rnacentral:lncRNA from 1 species